AUUGAACGCUGGCGGCAGGCCUAACACAUGCAAGUCGAGCGGAGCGGCGGACGGGUGCGGAAUGCCUAGGAAUCUGCCUGUUAGUGGUGGAUAACGUCAGGUAACGGGCGCGAAUGCUACAUCCUAUCAGAUUAGCCUAGGGCGGAUUAGCAAGUUGGUGUGGUAAAGGCCUACCAAGGCGACGGUCCGUAACUGGUCUGAGAGGAUGAUCAGCCACACUGGAACUGAGACACGGUCCAGACUCCUACGGGAGGCAGCAGUGGGGAAUAUUGGACAAUGGGCGAAAGCCUGAUCCAGCCAUGCCGCGUGUGUGAAGAAGGUCUUCGGAUUGUAAAGCACUUUCAGUUGGGAGGCGUUACCCACAGAAGAAGCACCGGCUAACUCCGUGCCAGCCGCCGCGUUAAUAC
rnacentral:rRNA from 1 species